AGAAGUUCAAGGUCAGCUCUCAUGUCUUUGUUUAAUUUUAAAGUGAGGCUCAUUGUAGCCAGAUUUCCCCUGAACUGCCUGGAUGCAUAGAGGAGGGGCCUCACCCCCGCAGCCUGCCCAGCCUCACCCCCUCUGGAGAUCCUCCCUGACUCAGCCUCACUCCAUGCUAUCCUUCCCACCUCCCGCCCCUUGUCAUUCCAGCUCUUGCUGGGCAGUGGUGUGGGAACAGUGCGUCUCUAUGACACGGAAGCCAAGAAGAAUCUCUGUGAAAUCAAUAUCAACGACGACAUGCCCAGAAUCCUGUCUCUUGCGUGCAGCCCCAACGGGGCCUCUUUCGUCUGUUCGGCAGCAGCUCCGAGCCUCACUUCCCAGGUGGACUUCUCAGCACCAGACAUCGGCAGCAAGGGCAUGAACCAGGUUCCUGGCAGGCUGCUGCUGUGGGACACGAAAACCAUGAAGCAGCAGGUACGGGCCUGCCCUG
rnacentral:sRNA from 1 species